rnacentral:rRNA from 1 species
AACGAACGCUGGCGGCGUGCCUAAGACAUGCAAGUCGUACGGAAAGGCCCCCUUCGGGGGGUACUCGAGUGGCGCACGGGUGAGUAACGCGUGGGUAAUCUGCCUUAGGGUCUAGGACAACCCCGGGAAACUGGGGCUAAUACUGGAUAAGUCCACGAGCUCUUCGGAGCUUGCGGGAAAAGAUGGCCUCUCCUUGGAAGCCAUCGCCCUUCGAUGAGCCCGGGUCCCAUUAGCUAGUUGGUGAGGUGACGGCUCACCAAGGCUUUGAUGGGUAGCUGGUCUGAGAGGAUGAUCAGCCACACUGGAACUGGGGCACGGUCCAGACUCCUACGGGAGGCAGCAGUCGGGAAUUUUGGGCAAUGGGCGAAAGCCUGACCCAGCAACGCCGCGUGAGGGAUGAAGGCCCUCGGGUCGUAAACCUCUGUCGGGAGGGAAGAACGGUUUCCGUUCGAACAGGGCGGAAGCCUGACGGUACCUCCAAAGGAAGCACCGGCUAACUCCGUGCCAGCAGCCGCCGUAACAC